rnacentral:rRNA from 1 species
AGUGAACGCUGGCGGUAGGCCCAACACAUGCAAGUCGAACGGCAGCACAGGAGAGCUUGCUCUCUGGGUGGCGAGUGGCGGACGGGUGAGGAAUACAUCGGAAUCUACACUUGCGUGGGGGAUAACGUAGGGAAACUUACGCUAAUACCGCAUACGACCUGCGGGUGAAAGUGGGGGAACGCAAGGCCUCAAGCAAGUAGAUGAGGCGCUGGCUGAUUAGCUAGUUGGGGGGGUAAUGGCCCACCAAGGCGACGAUCGGUAGCUGGUCUGAGAGGAUGAUCAGCCACACUGGAACUGAGACACGGUCCAGACUCCUACGGGAGGCAGCAGUGGGGAAUAUUGGACAAUGGGCGCAAGCCUGAUCCAGCCAUACCGCGUGGGUGAAGAAGGCCUUCGGGUUGUAAAGCCCUUUUGUUGGGAAAGAAAUCCUGUCGAUUAAUACUCGGUGGGGAUGACGGUACCCAAAGAAUAAGCACCGGCUAACUUCGUGCCAGCAGCCGCAGUAAAAC